GGUUAAGCGACUAAGCGUACACGGUGGAUGCCCUGGCAGUCAGAGGCGAUGAAGGACGUGCUAAUCUGCGAUAAGCGUCGGUAAGGUGAUAUGAACCGUUAUAACCGGCGAUUUCCGAAUGGGGAAACCCAGUGUGAUUCGUCACACUAUCAUUAACUGAAUCCAUAGGUUAAUGAGGCGAACCGGGGGAACUGAAACAUCUAAGUACCCCGAGGAAAAGAAAUCAACCGAGAUUCCCCCAGUAGCGGCGAGCGAACGGGGAGCAGCCCAGAGCCUGAAUCAGUGUGUGUGUUAGUGGAAGCGUCUGGAAAGGCGCGCGAUACAGGGUGACAGCCCCGUACACAAAAAUGCACAUACUGUGAGCUCGAUGAGUAGGGCGGGACACGUGGUAUCCUGUCUGAAUAUGGGGGGACCAUCCUCCAAGGCUAAAUACUCCUGACUGACCGAUAGUGAACCAGUACCGUGAGGGAAAGGCGAAAAGAACCCCGGCGAGGGGAGUGAAAAAGAACCUGAAACCGUGUACGUACAAGCAGUGGGAGCACAGAGCAAUCUGUGUGACUGCGUACCUUUUGUAUAAUGGGUCAGCGACUUAUAUUCUGUAGCAAGGUUAACCGAAUAGGGGAGCCGAAGGGAAACCGAGUCUUAACUGGGCGUUAAGUUGCAGGGUAUAGACCCGAAACCCGGUGAUCUAGCCAUGGGCAGGUUGAAGGUUGGGUAACACUAACUGGAGGACCGAACCGACUAAUGUUGAAAAAUUAGCGGAUGACUUGUGGCUGGGGGUGAAAGGCCAAUCAAACCGGGAGAUAGCUGGUUCUCCCCGAAAGCUAUUUAGGUAGCGCCUCGUGAAUUCAUCUCCGGGGGUAGAGCACUGUUUCGGCAAGGGGGUCAUCCCGACUUACCAACCCGAUGCAAACUGCGAAUACCGGAGAAUGUUAUCACGGGAGACACACGGCGGGUGCUAACGUCCGUCGUGAAGAGGGAAACAACCCAGACCGCCAGCUAAGGUCCCAAAGUCAUGGUUAAGUGGGAAACGAUGUGGGAAGGCCCAGACAGCCAGGAUGUUGGCUUAGAAGCAGCCAUCAUUUAAAGAAAGCGUAAUAGCUCACUGGUCGAGUCGGCCUGCGCGGAAGAUGUAACGGGGCUAAACCAUGCACCGAAGCUGCGGCAGCGACGCUUAUGCGUUGUUGGGUAGGGGAGCGUUCUGUAAGCCUGCGAAGGUGUGCUGUGAGGCAUGCUGGAGGUAUCAGAAGUGCGAAUGCUGACAUAAGUAACGAUAAAGCGGGUGAAAAGCCCGCUCGCCGGAAGACCAAGGGUUCCUGUCCAACGUUAAUCGGGGCAGGGUGAGUCGACCCCUAAGGCGAGGCCGAAAGGCGUAGUCGAUGGGAAACAGGUUAAUAUUCCUGUACUUGGUGUUACUGCGAAGGGGGGACGGAGAAGGCUAUGUUGGCCGGGCGACGGUUGUCCCGGUUUAAGCGUGUAGGCUGGUUUUCCAGGCAAAUCCGGAAAAUCAAGGCUGAGGCGUGAUGACGAGGCACUACGGUGCUGAAGCAACAAAUGCCCUGCUUCCAGGAAAAGCCUCUAAGCAUCAGGUAACAUCAAAUCGUACCCCAAACCGACACAGGUGGUCAGGUAGAGAAUACCAAGGCGCUUGAGAGAACUCGGGUGAAGGAACUAGGCAAAAUGGUGCCGUAACUUCGGGAGAAGGCACGCUGAUAUGUAGGUGAAGUCCCUCGCGGAUGGAGCUGAAAUCAGUCGAAGAUACCAGCUGGCUGCAACUGUUUAUUAAAAACACAGCACUGUGCAAACACGAAAGUGGACGUAUACGGUGUGACGCCUGCCCGGUGCCGGAAGGUUAAUUGAUGGGGUUAGCGCAAGCGAAGCUCUUGAUCGAAGCCCCGGUAAACGGCGGCCGUAACUAUAACGGUCCUAAGGUAGCGAAAUUCCUUGUCGGGUAAGUUCCGACCUGCACGAAUGGCGUAAUGAUGGCCAGGCUGUCUCCACCCGAGACUCAGUGAAAUUGAACUCGCUGUGAAGAUGCAGUGUACCCGCGGCAAGACGGAAAGACCCCGUGAACCUUUACUAUAGCUUGACACUGAACAUUGAGCCUUGAUGUGUAGGAUAGGUGGGAGGCUUUGAAGUGUGGACGCCAGUCUGCAUGGAGCCGACCUUGAAAUACCACCCUUUAAUGUUUGAUGUUCUAACGUUGACCCGUGAUCCGGGUUGCGGACAGUGUCUGGUGGGUAGUUUGACUGGGGCGGUCUCCUCCUAAAGAGUAACGGAGGAGCACGAAGGUUGGCUAAUCCUGGUCGGACAUCAGGAGGUUAGUGCAAUGGCAUAAGCCAGCUUGACUGCGAGCGUGACGGCGCGAGCAGGUGCGAAAGCAGGUCAUAGUGAUCCGGUGGUUCUGAAUGGAAGGGCCAUCGCUCAACGGAUAAAAGGUACUCCGGGGAUAACAGGCUGAUACCGCCCAAGAGUUCAUAUCGACGGCGGUGUUUGGCACCUCGAUGUCGGCUCAUCACAUCCUGGGGCUGAAGUAGGUCCCAAGGGUAUGGCUGUUCGCCAUUUAAAGUGGUACGCGAGCUGGGUUUAGAACGUCGUGAGACAGUUCGGUCCCUAUCUGCCGUGGGCGCUGGAGAAUUGAGGGGGGCUGCUCCUAGUACGAGAGGACCGGAGUGGACGCAUCACUGGUGUUCGGGUUGUCAUGCCAAUGGCACUGCCCGGUAGCUAAAUGCGGAAGAGAUAAGUGCUGAAAGCAUCUAAGCACGAAACUUGCCCCGAGAUGAGUUCUCCCUGACUCCUUGAGAGUCCUGAAGGAACGUUGAAGACGACGACGUUGAUAGGCCGGGUGUGUAAGCGCAGCGAUGCGUUGAGCUAACCGGUACUAAUGAACCGUGAGGCUUAACCUU
rnacentral:rRNA from 1 species